GUGCCAGCAGCCGCGGUAAUACGUAGGGGGCGAGCGUUGUCCGGAUUUAUUGGGCGUAAAGGGUUCGUAGGCGGCUGAUUAAGUCAGGUGUGAAAGGUCACGGCUUAACCGUGGUAAGCACUUGAAACUGGUUGGCUUGAGUUAAGGAGAGGGAAGUGGAAUUCCUGGUGUAGCGGUGAAAUGCGUAGAUAUCAGGAGGAAUACCAGUGGCGAAGGCGACUUCCUGGCCUUAAACUGACGCUGAGGAACGAAAGCGUGGGGAUCAAACAGGAUUAGAUACCCUGGUAGUCCACGCCGUAAACGAUGAGUGCUAGGUGUUGGGGGUCAAACUUCAGUGCCGCAGCUAACGCAUUAAGCACUCCGCCUGGGGAGUACGUGCGCAAGCAUGAAACUCAAAGGAAUUGGCGG
rnacentral:rRNA from 1 species